UUGACCUCGAAUCAGGUAGGAAUACCCGCUGAACUUAAGCAUAUCAAUAAGCGGAGGAAAAGAAACCAACAGGGAUUGCCUCAGUAACGGCGAGUGAAGCGGCAACAGCUCAAAUUUGAAAUCUGGCUCUCGGGCCCGAGUUGUAAUUUGUAGAGGAUGCUUUUGGUGAGGUGCCUUCCGAGUUCCCUGGAACGGGACGCCAUAGAGGGUGAGAGCCCCGUCUGGUUGGACGCCGAACCUCUGUAAAGCUCCUUCGACGAGUCGAGUAGUUUGGGAAUGCUGCUCUAAAUGGGAGGUAUAUGUCUUCUAAAGCUAAAUACCGGCCAGAGACCGAUAGCGCACAAGUAGAGUGAUCGAAAGAUGAAAAGAACUUUGAAAAGAGAGUUAAACAGUACGUGAAAUUGUUGAAAGGGAAGCGCUUGUGACCAGACUUGGGCUUGGUUGAUCAUCCGGGGUUCUCCCCGGUGCACUCUUCCGGCCCAGGCCAGCAUCAGUUCGCCCUGGGGGACAAAGGCUUCGGGAACGUGGCUCUCUCCGGGGAGUGUUAUAGCCCGUUGCGUAAUACCCUGUGGCGGACU
rnacentral:rRNA from 1 species